AUUGAACGCUGGCGGCAGGCCUAACACAUGCAAGUCGAGCGGAUGAAGGGGGCUUGCUCCUGGAUUCAGCGGCGGACGGGUGGGUAAUGCCUAGGAAGCUGACUUGCAUUGGGGGAUAACGUCCGUAAACGGGCGCUAAUACCGCAUACGUCCUGAUGGAGAAAGUGGGGGAUCUUCGGACCUCACGCUAUCAGAUGAGCCUAGGACGUAUUAGCUAGUUGGUGAGGUAAAGGCCUACCAAGGCGACGAUCCGUAACUGGUCUGAGAGGAUGAUCAGUCACACUGGAACUGAGACACGGUCCAGACUCCUACGGGAGGCAGCAGUGGGGAAUCUUGGACAAUGGGCGAAAGCCUGACGCAGCAACGCCGCGUGAGUGAAGAAGGUCUUCGGAUCGUAAAGCACUUUAAGUAGGGAAGAAGGACAGUGAAUGUAUACAUGGCUGUUUUGACGUUACCAAAAGAGAAAGCCCCGGCUAACUUCGUG
rnacentral:rRNA from 1 species